AUUGAACGCUGGCGGCAGGCCUAACACAUGCAAGUCGAGCGGAUGAAGGGAGCUUGCUCCUGGAUUCAGCGGCGGACGGGUGAGUAAUGCCUAGGAAUCUGCCUGGUAGUGGGGGAUAACGUCCGGAAACGGGCGCUAAUACCGCAUACGUCCUGAGGGAGAAAGUGGGGGAUCUUCGGACCUCACGCUAUCAGAUGAGCCUAGGUCGGAUUAGCUAGUUGGUGGGGUAAAGGCCUACCAAGGCGACGAUCCGUAACUGGUCUGAGAGGAUGAUCAGUCACACUGAACCUGGAACACGGUCCAGCCCCCUCCGGAGGGCGGCGGGGGGAAUUAUUGACAAAUGGGCGAAGCCCUGUUCCGGCCUGGCGGGGUGUGUGAAGAGGGCCUUCGAUUUGUAAAGCCCUUUAGGUGGGAAGAAAGGCAAGUAGGUUAUACCCUUGCUGUUUUGCCUUAACCACCAGAUUAGGCCCCGGCUACCUUCGU
rnacentral:rRNA from 1 species